rnacentral:rRNA from 1 species
AAUGAACGUUGGCGGCGUGGAUUAGGCAUGCAAGUCGUACGCCCCGCAAGGGGCGUGGCGCAAGGGUGAGUAAGGCGACGGCAACCAACCUGGGGGCAGGACAUAGCCGCGGGAAACUGCGGGUAAUAUCCGGCGCCGUCGGAGAGGGGCAUCCCCUUCCGACGAAAGGUGUGACUCCGCCCCCAGACGGGCCGUCGUGGUAUUAGGUAGAUGGGGGGGUAACGGCCCACCAUGGCUGCGAUGCCUACCGGGCCUGCGAGCGUGGCCCGGCACACUGGGACUGAGACACUGCCCAGACACCUACGGGUGGCUGCAGUCGAGAAUCUUCGGCAAUGGGCGCAAGCCUGACCGAGCGACGCCGCGUGGAGGAUGAAGGCCUUCGGGUUGUAAACUCCUGUCGAGGGGGAACAAGGUGGCGCGAAGAGCGUCGCUUGAGUGAUCCCUGGAGGAAGCACGGGCUAAGUUCGUGCCAGCCGCCGCAGAACAC